rnacentral:rRNA from 1 species
AGACCGAUAGCGAACAAGUACCGUGAGGGAAAGAUGAAAAGCACUUUGGAAAGAGAGUUAAACAGUACGUGAAAUUGUUGAAAGGGAAACGAUUGAAGUCAGUCAUGCUCUUGGGUCUUCGGACCCUUGAGUGGGGUCAACAUCAGUUUUGAUCGAUGGAUAAAGGCACGAGGAAGGUAGCACCCUCGGGUGAACUUAUAGCCUCGCGUCAUAUACAUUGAUUGGGACUGAGGAACGCAGCAUGCCUUUUGGCCGGGAUUCGUCCACGUACAUGCUUAGGAUGUUGACAUAAUGGCUUUAAACGACCCGUCUUGAAACACGGACCAAG